AACGCAUGCAAGUCGAACGAGGCCCAACCAGUGGCAACACUGGGGAAGGCCUAGUGGCGAACGGGUGAGUAACACGUGAGGAACCCACCCCGGAGACCGGGAUAAGCCCCCGAAAGGGGGUCUAAUACCGGAUGCCCUCCCCGGAUCGCAUGGUCUGGUGAGGAAAUGGAUUCCGCUCCGGGACGGCCUCGCGGCCUAUCAGCUUGUUGGUGGGGUAACGGCCCACCAAGGCGUAGACGGGUAGCUGGUCUGAGAGGACGAUCAGCCACACUGGGACUGAGACACGGCCCAGACUCCUACGGGAGGCAGCAGUGGAGAAUAUUGGACAAUGGGCGCAAGCCUGAUCCAGCAAUGCCGCGUGGGUGAAGAAGGUCUUCGGAUCGUAAAGCCCUUUCGACAGGGACGAUGAUGACGGUACCUGUAGAAGAAGCCCCGGCUAACUUCGUGCCAGCCGCCGCAGUAACAC
rnacentral:rRNA from 1 species